rnacentral:rRNA from 1 species
AUGAACGCUAGCUACAGGCUUAACACAUGCAAGUCGAGGGGCAGCAUUUUAGUUUGCUUGCAAACUAAAGAUGGCGACCGGCGCACGGGUGAGUAACACGUAUCCAACCUGCCGAUAACUCGGGGAUAGCCUUUCGAAAGAAAGAUUAAUAUCCGAUAGUAUAUUAAAACCGCAUGGUUUUACUAUUAAAGAAUUUCGGUUAUCGAUGGGGAUGCGUUCCAUUAGUUUGUUGGCGGGGUAACGGCCCACCAAGACUACGAUGGAUAGGGGUUCUGAGAGGAAGGUCCCCCACAUUGGAACUGAGACACGGUCCAAACUCCUACGGGAGGCAGCAGUGAGGAAUAUUGGUCAAUGGACGAGAGUCUGAACCAGCCAAGUAGCGUGAAGGAUGACUGCCCUAUGGGUUGUAAACUUCUUUUAUAUGGGAAUAAAGUAUUCCACGUGUGGGAUUUUGUAUGUACCAUAUGAAUAAGGAUCGGCUAACUCCGUGCCAGCAGCCGCGGUAAUACGGAGGAUCCGAGCGUUAUCCGGAUUUAUUGGGUUUAAAGGGAGCGUAGGUGGAUUGUUAAGUCAGUUGUGAAAGUUUGCGGCUCAACCGUAAAAUUGCAGUUGAAACUGGCAGUCUUGAGUACAGUAGAGGUGGGCGGAAUUCGUGGUGUAGCGGUGAAAUGCUUAGAUAUCACGAAGAACUCCGAUUGCGAAGGCAGCUCACUAGACUGCAACUGACACUGAUGCUCGAAAGUGUGGGUAUCAAACAGGAUAGAUACCCUGGUAGUCCACACAGUAAACGAUGAAUACUCGCUGUUUGCGAUAUACAGUAAGCGGCCAAGCGAAAGCAUUAAGUAUUCCACCUGGGGAGUACGCCGGCAACGGUGAAACUCAAAGGAAUUGACGGGGGCCCGCACAAGCGGAGGAACAUGUGGUUUAAUUCGAUGAUACGCGAGGAACCUUACCCGGGCUUAAAUUGCAUUUGAAUAAUCUGGAAACAGGUUAGCCGCAAGGCAAAUGUGAAGGUGCUGCAUGGUUGUCGUCAGCUCGUGCCGUGAGGUGUCGGCUUAAGUGCCAUAACGAGCGCAACCCUUAUCUUUAGUUACUAACAGGUCAUGCUGAGGACUCUAGAGAGACUGCCGUCGUAAGAUGUGAGGAAGGUGGGGAUGACGUCAAAUCAGCACGGCCCUUACGUCCGGGGCUACACACGUGUUACAAUGGGGGGUACAGAAGGCAGCUACCUGGCGACAGGAUGCUAAUCCCAAAAACCUCUCUCAGUUCGGAUCGAAGUCUGCAACCCGACUUCGUGAAGCUGGAUUCGCUAGUAAUCGCGCAUCAGCCAUGGCGCGGUGAAUACGUUCCCGGGCCUUGUACACACCGCCCGUCAAGCCAUGAAAGCCGGGGGUACCUGAAGUACGUAACCGCAAGGAGCGUCCUAGGGUAAAACUGGUAAUUGGGGCU